rnacentral:rRNA from 1 species
UACACACGGAUAACAUACCGAAAGGUAUGCUAAUACGGGAUAAUAUAUUUGAGAGGCAUCUCUUAAAUAUCAAAGGUGAGCCAGUACAGGAUGGACCCGCGUCUGAUUAGCUAGUUGGUAAGGUAACGGCUUACCAAGGCGACGAUCAGUAGCCGACCUGAGAGGGUGAUCGGCCACAUUGGAACUGAGACACGGUCCAAACUCCUACGGGAGGCAGCAGUGGGGAAUAUUGCACAAUGGGCGAAAGCCUGAUGCAGCAACGCCGCGUGAGUGAUGAAGGCCUUCGGGUCGUAAAACUCUGUCCUCAAGGAAGAUAAUGACGGUACUUGAGGAGGAAGCCCCGGCUAACUACGUGCCAGCAGCCGCGGUAAUACGUAGGGGGCUAGCGUUAUCCGGAUUUACUGGGCGUAAAGGGUGCGUAGGCGGUCUUUCAAGUCAGGAGUGAAAGGCUACGGCUCAACCGUAGUAAGCUCUUGAAACUGGGAGACUUGAGUGCAGGAGAGGAGAGUGGAAUUCCUAGUGUAGCGGUGAAAUGCGUAGAUAUUAGGAGGAACACCAGUUGCGAAGGCGGCUCUCUGGACUGUAACUGACGCUGAGGCACGAAAGCGUGGGGAGCAAACAGGAUUAGAUACCCUGGUAGUCCACGCUGUAAACGAUGAGUACUAGGUGUCGGGGGUUACCCCCUUCGGUGCCGCAG